UACGUAGGUGGCAAGCGUUGUUCGGAAUUAUUGGGCGUAAAGCGCGUGUAGGCGGCUUUGCAAGUCGGGUGUGAAAGCCCUCGGCUCAACCGAGGAAGUGCGCCCGAAACUGCAGAGCUUGAGUACCGGAGAGGAUGGUGGAAUUCCCCAAGUAGAGGUGAAAUUCGUAGAUAUGGGGAGGAACACCGGUGGCGAAGGCGACCAUCUGGACGGAUACUGACGCUGAGACGCGAAAGCGUGGGGAGCAAACAGG
rnacentral:rRNA from 1 species